CAAAGGCUUGGUCCUGACUUUAUUAUCAACUUUAGCCAAAUUUACACAUGCAAGUAUCCGCACCCCUGUGAGAAUGCCCCACAGUUCCCCGCCCGGGAACAAGGAGCUGGUAUCAGGCACAUCUCCCGAGCCCAUGACACCUUGCUUAGCCACACCCUCAAGGGAACUCAGCAGUGAUAGACAUUAAGCCAUAAGUGAAAACUUGACUUAGUUAAAGCUAAGAGGGCCGGUAAAACUCGUGCCAGCCACCGCGGUUAUACGAGAGGCCCAAGUUGACAAACACCGGCGUAAAGCGUGGUUAAGGGAAAACUCACACUAAAGCCAAACAUCUUCCAGGCUGUUAUACGCAACUGAAGAUAGGAAGUUCAACCACGAAAGUGGCUUUACCAGACCUGAAUCCACGAAAGCUAAGGAACAAACUGGGAUUAGAUACCCCACUAUG
rnacentral:rRNA from 1 species